rnacentral:rRNA from 1 species
ACGAACCUCUGGUGUACCGGUUGUGACGCCAGUCGCAUCGCCGGGUAGCUAUGUUCGGAAGGGAUAACCGCUGAAAGCAUCUAAGCGGGAAGCCUACCUCAAGAUAAGAUUUCCCUAGGACUUUAUGUCCUCUAAAGAGCCGUUCGAGACUAGGACGUUGAUAGGUUGGAUGUGGAAGCAUAGUGAUAUGUGAAGCUGACCAAUACUAAUUGCUCGUGAGGCUUGACUAUACAACACCCAAGCAGUUG